rnacentral:rRNA from 1 species
GACGAACGCUGGCGGCGUGCUUAACACAUGCAAGUCGAACGGAAAGGCCCUGCUUUUGUGGGGUGCUCGAGUGGCGAACGGGUGAGUAACACGUGAGUAACCUGCCCUUGACUUUGGGAUAACUUCAGGAAACUGGGGCUAAUACCGGAUAGGAGCUCCUGCUGCAUGGUGGGGGGUGGAAAUUUUCGGCGGUUGGGGUUGGACUCGCGGCUUAUCAGCUUGUUGGUGGGGUAGUGGCUUACCAAGGCUUUGACGGGUAGCCGGCCUGGGAGGGUGACCGGCCACAUUGGGACUGAGAUACGGCCCAGACGCCUACGGGAGACAGCAGUGGAGAAUAUUGCACAAUGGGCGGAAGCCUGAUGCAGCAACGCCGCGUGCGGGAUGACGGCCUUCGGGUUGUAAAACGCUUUCGCCUGUGACGAAGCGUGAGUGACGGUAAUGGGUAAAGAAGCACCGGCUAACUACGU